AUUUUCCUAGUAUAUAGUACAAGCGACUUCCAAUCGUUAAGUCCUAGACCAGCCCUAGGGGAAAAUA
rnacentral:tRNA from 1 species